rnacentral:rRNA from 1 species
GACGAACGCUGGCGGCGUGCUUAACACAUGCAAGUCGAACGGAAAGGCCCUGCUUUUGUGGGGUGCUCGAGUGGCGAACGGGUGAGUAACACGUGAGUAACCUGCCCUUGACUUUGGGAUAACUUCAGGAAACUGGGGCUGAUACCGGAUAGGAGCUCCUGCUGCAUGGUGGGGGUUGGAAAGUUUCGGCGGUUGGGGAUGGACUCGCGGCUUAUCAGCUUGUUGGUGGGGUAGUGGCUUACCAAGGCUUUGACGGGUAGCCGGCCUGAGAGGGUGACCGGCCACAUUGGGACUGAGAUACGGCCCAGACUCCUACGGGAGGCAGCAGUGGGGAAUAUUGCACGAUGGGCGGAAGCCUGAUGCAGCAACGCCGCGUGCGGGAUGACGGCCUUCGGGUUGUAAACCGCUUUCGCCUGUGACGAAGCGUGAGUGACGGUAAUGUGUAAAGAAGCACCGGCUAACUACGUG